AUACAGUGGGUCACGUGGCUGAGCCCUCCUUAAAGAGGCAGAAGUUUGAGCUUACGAAGUAGUCAGAAGAGUUGCUCUUCUCCACCUUUCUUCAGAAAGAGAACAUCCCUUCAGGAUCAGGACAUCCAAUCCUACAGAGCUCAGAGUUGCAGGGAUGCGAGAAGAAAAUCCCAGUGAUUCAGUAGAAGUCAUAGAUAUUUCCAUGCUACCCAGGCUGGAGUGCAGUGGCAUGAUCAUAGCUUACUUCAGCCUCAACCUCAUGGACUUGAGAAAUCCUCCUAAUUCAGCCUCCAGAGUAGCUGGGAUCACAGGCUGCUACCACAGUCAGGGGCAGCUACAGGCAUCUUCACAAUUCAAUGCUGCAACCUCAAUGCCUAGAACAACACUUGGUGCAGGCUGGAACUCAGAGGCAAAACGGUCAGCAGAUGUGGCCUCCAUCCUCUUGGCAUCCUUUUGCAAGUCAGACAAUGUGCUUUGGCUGGGACACAGCUGGACCACAGAGAUGGAGAGUCUCACUCUAUUGCCCAGGCUGGUCUUGAACUCCUGGCCUCAAGCAAUCCUCCUGCCUUGGCCUCCCAAAGCACCAGAAUUACAGGUUCCUAAGCAGCAUAUAAGGCACCAGAGGCACACCCAUGGAUAAGCCAACGGGGAUGAAAAAUGUGCAUUCACAAACUGCUCACCUCACAACAGUGAGAGCUUGCUCCAAGUCUCCUGCCCAUGGAAUAUCAUUUGACUUUGUAACUCAAAGGACUCCCAGAGGAAAGAGUCUGAAUAUAAUGCUUUACCCACAAAACGGAAUGAAGAGGAAGCAGAAAACUUUCAAAUAUUUUGUGAAAAUUUGUCAAACAAUAGAAAGAGGAAACUCAUUUGGGUGUGAUGCAAG
rnacentral:lncRNA from 13 species